GGUUAGGCGUAGGCGGGUUUAUUAAGUCAGUGGUGAAAGACGGUCGCUCAACGAUUGCAGUGCCAUUGAUACUGGUAGACUUGAGUGAGAUUGAGGUAGCUGGAAUGGAUAGUGUAGCGGUGAAAUGCAUAGAUAUUAUCCAGAACACCAAUUGCGUAGGCAAGUUACUAAGUCUCAACUGACGCUGAGGCACGAAAGUGUGGGUAUCAAACAGGAUUAGAUACCCUAGU
rnacentral:rRNA from 1 species